UUGUAGGCUUUUUAUAAUAUGCAUUUUCCAUAAACUUUUGGAAGAAAUGUCAUAUAUAUGGUUUUCAGAUUUUUUACACCAAAUUAAACAAUUUGUUUAAAAAAGAGAUCAUUUAUGUACUUAUGUACAAAGAGACAGAGUCUUCCAUCCACUGGUUGACUUCCCAGAUGGUUGCAAGAGUCAGGGCUGGGGUUGAACCCAGGAGCCAGGAUCUGUAUCCAGGUCUCUGUGAGUGGCAGAGACCCAAGUCCUUGAGCAGUCAUAGCUGCUUCCCAGGCAUAUUAGCAGGGAGCUAGAUCUGAAGCAGAGUAGCUGGGACUUGAACCGGACACUCCACUAUGGAAUGUGGACAUCCCAAACAGCAGUUUAACCCACUGCAUCACAAUGCCACUCCUAAACUUAUCUUUUUAUGUCACUUUUCAUGAACUCUUUCAAGCACCCUCAUGUAACCACCUUUUCUGAGUGCACUGUUAGGGGAUUAUAAAUGAAAAGUAAUAAAUGGGGAUGUUUGAGGAAGAAAUCAACACUCUAGAGACAAAAGGAAGGAAGAAUCGAAAGAAUAACAAGGAAAGAGAGGAGGGGGAGGGGGGAAAGUGCUUUAGAAGAAUGCGAUGCUCACCUGGGCCUGCCCGGCUUCCUUGUAGCCAACACCUGUGCACUAUGCACCUGCGACUGGCGGUCUUCAGUGUGCCAGAACUCCCUGCUUCAAGCACCUGAGCAGCUCCACUCCCUGCCGUGGGACUCUGACGCCGUGGAAGUGUCUCCUUCCAGCAAGACUAACAUGGAAGUACAGAUCCAGAGGGUGGUGGUGGUGGUGGUGGUGGUGGUGGGAGGGGAUUCAUACAUCCCAGGGGCAAACUCCUCUCUAUGGAGGUCAGAAAAAUAGCCUGAGAAUCCUUGUCCCAGUUCCUCCAAGGUUCCCCAGUGUGACUGAGCCUCAGUUGCCCAGAGCAACAACCUGUUUCGUCUAUACUCAUUAUUGACUUUUUUUUUUUGACAGGCAGAGUGGACAGUGAGAGAGAGAGACAGAGAGGUCUUCCUU
rnacentral:lncRNA from 1 species